GGAUGGAAGGGAAGGCAAGGAGGAACUAUGUGCUGGGAAAACUAUAAACAGGAUUCGGCUGCUGCCCCAAGAAGGCCUUGCUGCUGCUGAGGCAAAGCAGCACUUUUGGGAUGAUGCUUUUAGGAACUAGGAACAGACAAAAUGCAAUCCAGAGAAGCACUUCCCCUUUAGACAAAUCCUGACAUGCAGGCAUCCUGGAGACCAGCCCUACCUCUGUUAAUUCUAUGUAUAAUAUGAAGAUAAUAAAUCUACCCAUCCAGCUGAUUGUUCAGAGGGUCAAAUGAGAUGGAUAUCAAACCUAUAAAGUUAUCUAUAAAUGACUUGUUUGAUCUGCUAUUCAUCUAUCAGCACUCCACACUCAGAGGGAAAAUUUUCAAUAGAAUUUCCUUUCUCAUUAAUAAGUCGAACAUGUUCCUCCUUUGAGACUACAGUUGCCAUCAUACCUUACACAAUAGCCAUAUAAGUAAGGGAUCUGGGGGCACCAAGCUGGGCCAAACUGUAUCCAGAGAGGCAGCAGAUAAUUCCCAGUGAUGUUCCGAGCAAACAGUGAACAUCUCAGAAGCACUAUUGGAGAGGGACAGCUGUCUGGUGUCCACAAGCCAUUCUCUUACUUCCAACUCUUCACACCAGAGAGGCUCUCCAGGGCACUGAGUAUUUGAUACUGCCACCCAUAAACGUGAAGUCAGAUGAAUAAAUUCUUGAUUAGGCAAGAGGGAAAAACCAAACUUACAAACAUUCUUCGUUAUACUCUUCAUUAAACUCUAAAAAGCAUACUAAGGCACAAAUAAAUAUUUGUAGAAUAAGUAAACAUACUACUGUUUAACAACUUGUACAACUGAAAGAGCAACUCACAAAAAGCCUGUUCCAAUAGAAGCCAAUACAGAGCAUCAAAGGGAAGAUUUGUAACAUAAGCAUAGUCAUUACCAUAGGGAUGGGUCUUAAAGCAUGAGAAGAAUGUUACUUCUAUGGAGUGACUCAACUGAUCCCUUGACUUCCUGAUGGAAUGGUCCUAAGCCCAAAAAGUCAAAUAAAAUAACUAAGGUCUGACAAUAAAUAAAUACAUAAGUGGGGAAAUCCUGAAAUCCAGUUCAGAGCAUAGGACUCCAGAGCCUGUGUGCUCAGUCAAUAUGCUAUUUAUUUUCCAUUCACCAGGGAAAAGAUAAUAGAGCAACUGAUGAAGAUGCAUAGAUUGGGGCCAAUUUAAAAUCCUCUCUUGUGAUGCAACUCCCUUUUAUCUCAUAUCCUAAUCCAUUUGGGUAUACACAAGAUGCUAAUUGACUCCACAACAUGAGGGAUGCUUUAAUCAGGGAGGUAUGCAACUGCCUUGCAAAGGAUUUUUACAAGAAAGAUGAGCACUUCAUGAAAGGAUGAUCUGGAAAAGACUCAAGACUAUCUAGUCCAGAUCUCUCAUAAAAUAUUGAGGAAACUGGUUUUCAAUGAUGUAAAGUAAUUUGUCUGGUCACAGAACUGGUCAGUGAUAGAAGAAGAACUAGGACUACUUUUUACCUUACCUGUUACUCUUUUUAUUAUAUCAUGGUGCUUUAUUCUCUCUAGGAUACCUUAAAGCCUACUUAGCAACAUAAAUAUAGGACUUACUGACUUCAUGAACCUUUUGCUACAGCAUUUGGCCCAAAGAAAUUCUAUUUUCCAGAUCUACAACAAAUUCAUCCAUAAAAAGCUCAGCAUAAUUUUCUUCCUCCUGUGGGAAAUAAAGACUCUUCCGUUCCUUUUCUCUUACUCCCUAAUUUGUAACCUGUCAAUGUUUACAGGUAUUUUUAUGCAAAUCAGUCACUAAGAAGAAAUUGCACUUAGCCUGCAGAACUAUUUCAGCUUUUAACUUAGAAUGAUGGAUCGAUGUGGUGGCAGGAGUUAAUAAAUGGCAUAUGUGCAUAUCUUAUGAUGAAGUCAAAUCUAUGCUAAGAGGAAGAAAAUGAAACACAAAAAUAAACAAGCUUCUUAGCAAUAAACCCAAAGAUUUGAAGUUCAUGCAAUAUUUAAUCAUUUAAAUAAGGUCAUCAUCAGAAGUGACACAAACUGCUAAAUUGGUUCUGCUUUCAUAUUCAACAGCUUUUUAUCUAACCUACAAUUUUGCUCAUUUCUUAUAAUCCAUAUACUAUCCCCAUUACCACUAUACAUUUCCAUAUGUAGCUAUCUGCAAUGAAAAACAAACAAAAACAAAAACAAAACAGACUGACUUACUAUUGGAAAAUCAGCUUUGAGAAGUAAAAAUGAAGGCUUUCCAAAAAUGGAAAUGAAGACAAGAGAAUGUCAGGUUUUGCCAUCAGAGACAUUUCACCCCUACCCUGUCCUUGGAAUUAUACUCUGCUCAUUGUUCCCACAGCAAGAGCCAUUUUCAAGAAUGCAAGCUUGAGAAAACAAUGUGUUUUAUGGGACUGAGCUCAGCUCAGGUCUUUAAAUAAACUUUUAAAAUUCUGGCCCAGCAGGUAUGGAAACUAUUCAUUUUGUGGCUGUGUAGUUCAAACUUUGUUUGUAAAUUCCCUUGUUUGUUGAAACUGCCUUCUACCAAACUAGAGUGGCCUCUUCUUUUGGUCUCUGCCUGCCCUCCAUAUAUGGGGGCCUGUUUCAGGUUACACC